ACUAAGCCUCCGAGUGGAAUGGGUAAUCCCUAAAGCCAAAAGAGACAUCUUUAAGCCGCAGAACAUCUGACCAACAAUGAUCCGGCUCUAGGGCGAUCAACGAACCAAGUUACCCUAGGGAUAACAGCGCAAUCCUCUCCCAGAGCCCAUAUCGACGAGGGGGUUUACGACCUCGAUGUUGGAUCAGGACAUCCUAAUGGUCGAGCCGCUAUUAAGGGUUCGUUUGUUCAACGAUUAAAGUCC
rnacentral:rRNA from 1 species